UACGGAGGGUGCGAGCGUUAUCCGGAUUCACUGGGUUUAAAGGGUGCGUAGGUGGGUUUGUAAGUCAGUGGUGAAAUCUCCAGGCUUAACCUGGAAACUGCCAUUGAUACUAUAGAUCUUGAAUUUUCUGGAGGUAAGCGGAAUAUGUCAUGUAGCGGUGAAAUGCUUAGAUAUGACAUAGAACACCAAUUGCGAAGGCAGCUUGCUACAGGAAUAUUGACACUGAGGCACGAAAGCGUGGGGAUCAAACAGG
rnacentral:rRNA from 1 species